rnacentral:misc_RNA from 1 species
CAGUGCUCCCUGCCCUUAUGGGUAGGAUCACCCACCCUUGAAUAAUGAUGUUUGUUGCUUUGGCGGGCCACGAGGUCUCGCCUCGCCCCUGCUCUUGCGGGGGAGUGCCCGCCAGAGGACCCCCAAAUCCUGAAUAUUAGUGUCGUCUGAGUACUAUAAUAAUACUUUA